UAUUUUUGUUAAUAUUCCCAUCGUAGACUGUUUGAUUUUUCGUUCUCAUCCAUAAAGUUACAGGAAAUUAUUUUCUUAUACCUUUCAACGCUUAAAAUAUACUAAUCUUAUAUUUUCGUAUAUUGAUUAAAUAUAUUAAUUCUUAUAGAAUAUUAUAUGGUUACAUUAUUGCUCGAAGAUUAAUAGAACUCGUUAGCGCUAAUUAAGCGUCCGUUCCUUCAAAGGAUCGUAUCUUCAUUAAGAACUGAAUCGUCCCCCAAGGGUGCGCGUAUCCAUCCCGAACUCAAUAUAUCACGAUUCAAACUCCUCGAUCUUCGUUCAACCUAGUCCGUGUUACCUUUUGAUUAAUAGAUUCACCCUCAACUUUGCUUCAGGUUAGCCUAGAAUUUUUUGAGUUCCUAGUAAUAACUAAUAGUUAUCUUGGUUUGAAAGAAAAAUUACACAUUGGAAAUAUCAUUAAUUUCAAGAUAAUAUAGGGAGACUGACUCUAAAAGACUCUUCUCGUGGAGAAAAGAAGAUCCUUUUCAUCGAAUGAUACAAUUCAUUAAAUGAUACAACAAUUAGUAAUUUUCUACUCCAGUGUUCUAUUGUAUUUCAAAUUGAUUUCCACAAAAAAAAAAGAUACCUUUCUUGAUUAUAUCACUUUUCUAGCAAACCGAUGAUAUAACACCGACGGUAGCGUAACACAGUGAUCACGAUGAAAAUUACAUUUCCCUGUUCCCUUGAACCUUCUUUCAUCAUGUACUGCGACACAGCGAACCGAAUGGCUGUUGCACGAUAAUCCGUGCCGCCAUUAACCAGGACAUUCACGGCACGCGUAUCCAUUAUCGCGUACACGGACGUCUGCACGAACGUAACAAUGGACUUGGGCCUUGUACCAGUCGGAGCAGAGUUAAACAGGAUCGUUGGAAAGCCAAUUUACAAUGAAGAGUAGAAUCGGGAUUUUUUUGUUUUCCCUUUCUCCCUUUCUGUUUUUUAUUUUUUGUAACGUAGCAUCAAAUUUUCGAUAUUUGAAUCGAGUGCAAAUAUUUGAUUCGUAGUCGAAGAAUCGAAGUAUAUGGAAUGGCGGGCGGUGAAACAAUUUGGACGAUUGUUAUGUGAUAGGAAUGUGAGGUGGAAAUAUAGGCUGGCUUACGAAAAAAUGGUUUGGUUGUUUGGAAAAAUUAGUGAUUGAUGGUAUGGAUUCCAACGGUAUCGAUUCCAUAGUCGAGGUAAUUUCGAUGGUACACAGUACUCUGACUCGAUAUUGUUGUAAUGAAUAUAUUACUUUGUGCCCGCCGUAUCGCACAUGAAACGUAAUAUAAUGGAUAUAGCAGGGAAAAACAAAAAUUUUGUUGAAACGAUUUUGUAACGCGUAAUGAGAUUUUCUUUAUUACAGAGAAAUGUUAACUUGCAAUUUCGCGCGAUUUCAUUUAUCAAACGUUGCGGAAGACUAUUCGGUGAUUAUACAGGCGCGUUUAUUUUCAGCAGAUAAAUUCGAAAUUUUUCCAAAUGAUUCGAUUCGAGUGGCGGGAAAUUUAAAGAUAUCUAGUUCGUCUCGAUAAAAACGUUGUUCUCGGAAGAGCGUAGACCGGGCCACGAUGCAACCUGCUGCGUCUGUAAUUACAUCGCUGAACCGAUAUACGGAUGGUCAUGUACGCGGUAAUGGAUACACGAACUACAGUUGUCUGGGAUAAUGGCGCCGCGUAUAUGAACCUAGCAAAACGACGAUACGCCACGUACAGCGGAUAAAGUCUGCGGUCGACACACUGAAAAAUUCAUCCGCGGAAUCGGAAACGUUCUGCCGCUCUGAGCGCGGGAAUAAUUCAACGCUUGUGACGGAGCGUCAGACUGAUCCGAGGUAUUCAGGUUUCACGUUUUAUUUCGACGGUGUCGCGAAGGUUUUGUGCCCCCGAGAACGGGGUUUGAUUUGAAGGCAAUGAAGUGUUCCGACGGUGCGUAAGUGGAUAAAAAAAGAAUAUUAAUCAUAGAGAUGCUGGUACAAAUACCUUCAUAGAUGUAAUUAGGAAUAUCAGACAAAUUUUAGAUAACGUCUUACGUGUGAUGACUCGCGAAAGUAUUUGAAUACUUGUUAUAGAAAACUUUCAUGUAUAUACGUACACAUAGUGUGUGUUUUAUAUAAAAUGUUUUGAAACUUUAUUCACACGGUAAAAUAUAUCUCUGAAAAAUAUAUUUCUAUCAAAUAAAUCGUACUUUCUACGUACGCUUUUAGAUUUGUUUCAAACUUUACCAAUAUAUUAGGUUGUCCGGAAGGUUCUUUUCUUUUAUGAGGAAGUAAUAGACGCACAAUGUUUUUUGUUUUAUAAACACCGCGACAUUUCACAGACUUGGUUUCUUGACACUGUCGUAAAAGAUCGCGUUUGUGAAAGAAAGACACUUUCCGGGCAAGCUAAUAUCAUCGUGAUAGUCGAGCCUCGUUAUAGCGCUAAUAGAAUUUACAAACGUCUCGAGUAAGUUAAAUGAUAUAAUCAUAAAAGGGUUCUAUAAGCGUUUGAAUACUUUCGUAAGCAAUUGUGUUUCUCACAAUGUUAAAUAAAGUGUGAAAAGGAGUUGAAUAAAAUUUCGACGUUGACGUAACGCGUAAAAUCGAGCAGCAGCGAACAUUUUCUAUUAGAUGCAAAAUCCUGUGACAAUGUUACAGAUCGUUCGCCGUCAUUCGUUCAACAGUGAGAAAUUUAGCAAACUAAUCAACAUUUUUCCGCUUCUCCGCAAAGUGGAACGUAACAUCGAUCGCAAUUCUAAUUCGAUUUCCCUUGCUGUUCGCAAACAAUUGUCAAGACCUCAUUCGUGUUCCCCGUGAAGUUGUUAACCGCACGUCGAGCGCUGUCGUUUCGCAAAGUUUCGACCAGACACCAUUACCCGCAACAAGCGCGGCUCACAGAUCCAUUACCACGCACGGGAGUAUCUGCGUGUCUCUAGGAAACAGCUUCAAUCUUGCUCGCUAAUUACUUCGAAUUGCAGAUGCGUCCGUGAUGGACACCUUCGUCCCUUCCUCUUCCCCAAGCACAUCGUCAGCUCGCGUUAUUCUGAAUGUAUAUCGCCUAGUUUAUCUUAGAUCAAUGAUUUCUUAUUUCAUGUAGGUAAAAGUAUCUUCCUCUGUUACCAUAAACCCGUAGCUUCUUUUGCUUCUUACAAUUAAGGUCAAUUUUUGGAGUUUCCUCGAAUAAGUUAUUCUAAUUGACCUCUCUUCGCUUCACUUUCUAUCGAUUUCCUAAUUUCAUUACAUUAAUUACUAAUUAAGAUGACGCGAGUAACGGUACGUUCUGGGGUAAAUUAAAAAAAAAAACAAACAUUGUUCUUAACAUAAUCUCAUUUAUGUAAGUUUCAGUUUGCGUAGUUGACCAGUUGUAUAUCUUAUUGCCAAUCUUGCUGUCUGACAAAGUCCAGUUCCCCAUCCACCAAAGGCAGUUCGCAAUUAUACGAGUACAAUAAAUCCUCCGAUUCCCAGCCUGUCGUCGAAGAACGAAAUACUCACGUGUCCAUCGUCACGUACAACAAUAAGACCGAUGUACUCUGGAGAACCAUUGGACGCCGCCUUCGCGGAUAUUAGUUCCGGAUUUUAUUAUCGUACGGAAGUAGUCGGCUGGAGUCGCGCUGGGAAUUCGAUAAGACGAAAGACGGCUCGUAAGCGAUACAGAAAUACGACAGGAACGUGGGACAGAAUCGCCAACAGCGAGUCGGUAUGUGCACACGAGACGAUACAGGUCACGUAGUAGCCGCUAGCUAAGCAAUCGAUUACGAAAGGGAGUAAAAGUAAUUGCUUUAUAGUUCGUGGGCUUAGCUUCGCGACCGGCAAUCGUGUUUCCGCCUCCGGGUUGGAAAUCGUUCCGCGUGGAGCAAUCGGUGCUGAGCUAUCGCCCUUCGAUACAACAUCUCGAUGUAGGUGUUAGGUGUUUUAAUUGAGGUGAAGAACUUUCGGCGGUUUAAUUGGGAAUUUGAAUAGGAAAUUAGUUGAUUAGAGGAUUCAAGAAAUUACAACUACAAUGGUUAUAAUCCCUCGGGUUAUUUUUCACGCAAAUAUGAACCUUUUCAGGAGAAUACGAAAGACUCUGUUUCGAUAUUUGCGAUUUCUCGAUCGAAACUUGCGCUGGAAUUUCAGUAAAACUCUUUUCAUUGAUCGAAACAAGAGCAAGACCGGAAAAAAAUUCGAAGAUCGUAACCGAGUGGAGUCUUUUGAUAAGCGUUAUCUGUAGAUUACGCAUUCCGAUACUUCUUGUUCAAUUUUACUUCGAUGAUCGGAGCCUUUCUGUGUUUUAAUUACGUGCCGAACAAAAUACACAAUGCGAUUGAAACUGCCUAUUGAAUUGCCUCGAUGAUCAAUCGUUCGAUCUUUGCCAUCUUUUUCCCGCGAGGGAUAGCAAACUCCCGGCAACCCGAUUAACGAAACUGAAAACGAAACAAGAGUAGCAAGUACGUGAAACGACUUAUUCGGAAUCACAUUGAUCGACCGGUCGAGUAAUUCGAGCCAUGUUUGCAGAAACAUGGAUUUUUACGUCGUCUUCCUAAAAAGGAACACGAACGAUCGUCUCGCUCAAAAAGGAUACGAAUCGUACGAUCUAUCAAAUCGACCGUCCUCGAUUCGAUCGACGUCGUUCCUCCUCGUUUCUUCCUUCGACUCGUAACGAACGAUAUUUUGUUCGUUUUUUAUUUUUUUUUUUUUUUUCUCGCAUGGGAAGGUGAAUUUUUCAGCGAACUUUUCCGUCAAUUCGAUUUAACGCUGUUCAAUCGAGCUGGCUGAUCGCGACGGAACUGUAUAAUAGAAUGGGAGUAAUUUGUUUGAGCGUGAUGGAUCCGAUUAAUGUCGGGUGUUAACUCGUUUUUCUCGCCCUCCCUCCCGUUUGUUUAAGUUUUCACGGUGUUACCUCGCGAUCACGAAAUUCAAUUUCACGCCUGUUCUUUUCCACCUUUUGUGCAGCCAAGCUUGGAAAUGUCAUUUCCGUUUCUUUCUACGUGCUUGUUUAAGGUUCUUUCGGCGAGAAGAAAAUGUUUGAGAUAUUACGGAAGUCGAUAAAUACUUUAGAUAAAGCUUGACGGAGAAAAUAUACGCGGAACUAGGUUAAGCAAAUAUUAUUUAGAAAAUUUGCACGAGAUUGUAACGAACAAUACGAUCGAAGAGCUUCUUGAAAAAUACGCCCAUAAAAAAAGUUGGUGCAUUAAAAUGAGACAUCGGAAGUUCUUUAGUCUUGAUUUUUUAAAUAUUAGUUACGCUCCAACUGACGAUUACAGUUCAACCAUUUGACUAGAAAAUACACUCGGCGUUCAUUGCAUUUACAUAUGCGAUCUUUUUCAAAAACAAGCUCCCCAAUUUUGUUCUUUCUCCUCCUUCUAUGAAAAGAAUUAGUUAUGUCAUAUAAAGUGUCCAUUUAUCUUCUACGAAUAUUAUAACAUCACGUUAAAUCAUCAACGGAAAUAUUGUACAUGAUAUAAAAAAUACCGUAGGAUAAUAAAAAAAAAAACAUAAUUUCUACCAUCAUUACCUACUCACCGUAAAUUACCUGUUCGGAAUUUUGAGUAGCUGUUUAUGGCACGGACAGGCCCAUUCCCUUCUUUAGGAAACUCCGAGCUGUAAAUCUGAUGACUCCGAGGUCAGGUAAAACCCCGGAAAAGGACCAGCCGGAGGGUCACGAUGGAUAGACGAAACCUAACGGCUGGUAGGGAAAAUCAGCAACGUAGGAGGACAGUUCGUCAUUAGACAUCGUACCGUGCGGAUGAAAUACUUCACUGCCAACAAGAUCUUACCACCGCCGUAUUCCUAACAUCACACUACGUAUACGGUUGACCUACCACGCCAAGACGCCACACCGCAUACCCCAUAUUAGGAUCGUCCUUUGCGAAAUGGCCGAGAGUGGAGUGAAAAUGGCGAACAGCAGCAUCUGUGCAACGCGGCAAAUCCGCAGGCAAGAAAACUGGCUUAAUCCUCUUACGUCCGCUGCUCUGUCGCGGAAAAAUGGCGUUCCCCGGCUGACCUUAAACCCGACAGAAACACGAGCAAGGACUCUCGCUCCCUGCGAAAAAGAGAGAGAGAGAGAGAGGAAAUCACAGCUCGCUCGUGCUAGAAAAGUCUCUGCUAGCUAUUUGCCAGCGAAUCAUCGUUAAGAAGAUUUUUCUGCCGUUCGAGAAAAUGAAACGAAAUUGAACUCUAUUCAUUUGGUCCCCGAUCAUCUCUAGCAGCCGUUCUUUUUUAAUUAAACACCGAUAGCGAAGAAAUAGAAAAGAUUUUCUAAACCAUCCUCGAUGCUUUUCUGUUUUGUUACCUCAUGCACCAAACAAAUAUAUUGAAGAAUUUCAAUUAUGAAAAUAAAUAGGCGUAAACGAUAUAUAUAGUUUAAGUACCAUAGAAGAAAUACGUAGUACAGUUACAUUUUUCAAAUCUUAUAGAGAUACAAUUUUGAAACAAAAUUACAUUCUUCACUACGUUGUCGAUCGAUUUUACGUCAGCAAUUUGUCAUAUUUAUAUUUGAUUUUGGUCAACAUUAAAUGUAUGUGUAUAUUUGCUAAUUUCUUGAGCAAGUGUACAAACAUCUUCGCGUGUAUUAAAGUGCAUUAAAAUUCAACUCGCAUAUUCAACAAUCUACGCUAUUCCUCGUCGAAUCUUCCUUCAUCGAAUCGACGAGAAAACUUGUUACAGCGCUCGUGUAUGUCGUCGUUACAUAAUUACGAGUAGCCGUGAUGGCUUAUAAUCAAGGUCUGUUUGCCAAAAGCGGCCUUGGUAAGAAAAUAAUUGCCAGCAAAGCUCGUCGAUCCUUUGUCGGGCACGUCCAUUUAAGGAGGAACAUCGUCGUUUUCGUAGCUGCUUCUCCUGCGACGGAUGAACGUCACAAAGAUCGCCGAUGAUACGUUCGACGAAGUUGGGGUAAAUUAGUACGAGACUUCGUUCCAUCCCUUGAAAAGUGCACGGCUCGUUUCUCGGCGCUGAGACGUAAUUUCGACGUGACGCUCGUUAAUUACGCCCUCGACAAGCGCGAUAUACGGCACUGCAGUUUUCUGCCGCCCGAUCUUCCCGACUACUGCCUUGCCUCGCAAUUUCUCCCGCUUGCACUUCAUUAAGCCAGUCUUACAAUGUUCUUGUUUCCUCUGCAUAUACACAUACCUGACACGAAUCCAGUAUUGAGAGGACUCGAGAGCCGUUGAGUAAUGUUGCUUUGGGAAACCGAGGAUGUAUUUACGGUUAUGUUUGUAUUCGAAGGUUGUCAGAUGGGCUUCCGUGGAAAUUUGGGAAUUCGAGUGAUAGCGCGUUAUUUUCGAAAGUUGAAAAGGAAAAUCGAGGGAGAAAUUUCAAUAAUGACGUUCGCUGUAGAAUUAAUGUGCGUUAUAUUUAUCGAUAAAUAUUAAUAACGUUUUGGAGAGAUUCGGGAAUUCCAAAUGUAAUAUAUCAUUAACAAACGUUGAACAGAAGAAGGAGGACAAAUUUUUACUGCCAUUCUGUCCGUGAAAUUUAUAUGCUUGUGUUUAAUGUGAUGUGCUAUAAUUAAUCAACAGUACUCCGUGCGUGAAUAUUCUUAAAGUCAAUUUUAAACUAGGAAAACGCAAAUCAGGUUUAAUCUAACGGAUGCACGCGCGAAAUCUUUUUAAAAAUAUUAUUUCAAACAUACGCAUCGUAAAACUUGCUAACAACGAGUACGUGUUACGUAAUAUAUUAAAUACGUAUGUUCAUCGUAGAGAACCUGUUAUAAACGAGUAUCACGUACAUUUCUUUGUAUCUCUGAAAACGUGAAAAAUGUCUGUAUCUCGACCAUUAUUCGUAAUGAAAGUUGCAUGUAUUUUACACACGCAUCAACGUAGAAUUCUAAUUAAUUGACCUAAUUGUUCAUUUUCUGAUAUUCUCUUUAUUACGAAUGUACUCGUUAUUAAAGAACCGAGAAAGCUCUAAUAGAAUAGGACGUCGAAUAUAAUUCAACACACGUACGAUUACAAAAGAACGAAUAAGCAAUAUUAAUUGUAUUCUCUUGAAAUAAUAAACCAGUUGAAUACCCCGUAGAUGUACUGACGAAUAAUCUGGCACUUACAAAGUAAACAUUCGUGCUGUAACAACACAAUAACCAGAAGAACCACAGAGUCGUUCCAUCUUCUGGAAAAGAUGAAUUUCUGCCUAGCAAUAUGGCAGCAAUUUCUCGACAAACCUUCCCUUUAUAAAGGAUUCUCGUUUCCCCGCAAGAAUAUUAUUUCGAUCUUAGAAGAUAAUUCCGCCCGUUUGCAAUUUUCCUACGUUGCAGAAUCCUUAAAACGUUCAAUGUACUUCCCUGCAACACAACAGCCUGGAACACGUUCUCCGAAAAACAUUCCAAUCGCGAGCAAAAUUUCAUCCUUUGCUACGUCCGCCAGCCUCUCGAAACCCACAAUAUUCCAUGAAACUUCCACUUUACAACCUCGCUCUCCCUUUCUCUCUCUCUCUCUCUCUCUCUCUCU